rnacentral:rRNA from 1 species
UGCCUCAGUAACGGCGAGUGAAGCGGCAAGAGCUCAAAUUUGAAAGCUGGCUCCUUCGGGGUCCGCAUUGUAAUUUGCAGAGGAUGCUUCGGGAGCGGUCCCCGUCUAAGUGCCCUGGAACGGGCCGUCAUAGAGGGUGAGAAUCCCGUAUGGGACGGGGUGUCCGCGCCCAUGUGAAGCUCCUUCAACGAGUCGAGUUGUUUGGGAAUGCAGCUCUAAAUGGGUGGUAAAUUUCAUCUAAAGCUAAAUAUUGGCCGGAGACCGAUAGCGCACAAGUAGAGUGAUCGAAAGAUGAAAAGCACUUUGAAAAGAGAGUUAAAAAGCACGUGAAAUUGUUGAAAGGGAAGCGUUUGCGACCAGACUCGCCCGCGGGGGUUCAGCCGUCAUUCGUGGCGGUGUCUUCCCCGUAGGCGGGCCAGCGUCGGUUUGGGCGGUCGGUCAAAGGCCCUCGGAAUGUAACGUCUCUCGGGGCGUCUUAUAGCCGGGGGUGCCAUGCGGCCAGCCUAGACCGAGGAACGCGCUUCGGCACGGACGCUGGCAUAAUGGUCGUAAAUGACCCGUCUUGAAACACGGACCAAGGAGUCUAACAUCUACGCGAGUGUUCGGGUGGCAAACCCGUGCGCGCAGUGAAAGCGAACGGAGGUGGGAACCCGCAAGGGUGCACCAUCGACCGAUCCUGAAGUCUUCGGAUGGAUUUGAGUAGGAGCGUAGCUGUUGGGACCCGAAAGAUGGUGAACUAUGCCUGAAUAGGGUGAAGCCAGAGGAAACUCUGGUGGAGGCUCGCAGCGGUUCUGACGUGCAAAUCGAUCGUCAAAUUUGGGUAUAGGGCGAAAGACUAAU